UGCUUAUCAAGAGAGACCGAGGGUAAGGCCCUAUGACGUCCGGCAACCCCCAUUUAUAUGGGAAGGUGCCAAGUCCUGCAGAAUGAAAUUCAUUCUGAAAGAUAAGUC
rnacentral:ncRNA from 1 species